ACUAUUGUUUCCAUAGAAACAACUUUUUUUUAAAUACCAUGAGAUAUUGUAUUUAAGAGAUAUUCUAGCUCAGUAUAUGUUGUUUCCAUAUAUCAUCAUCUUAACAAGCACACAUUCUCUGCUGCCAACAGUACCAAUUUGUCAACCAAGCAACAAAUAUUCCUUGGUAAUCUGCUAUCAGAUAACAGUUUUCUCGUUGGCAUUUUUAUGAAUUAAAGCUUUCAAGGCUUAAUGUUUUGGUCAAGUUUCAGAUUUGUUUAGCAUAAUCCUGUACUACAUAUUAACAAAUGUUUGGUGUGUCUAGUUCAUCUCUCUCACUAUGAAGAUGGCUACACACUAUCAGCAAUGCACCCCUAUGAUAUACAAGUCUUCAUUGCCAAGUCACUCUGCCAAACAGUGUGUACACCUUUCUUGCAGUGGUAGUACUUUACUGUACUUCAAUCACUUCAGGAGUCUGGAUAUGUCAGCCCAAGGCCAAGGAGAUCAAGUUUGUGUCCAAGGUUACUUAGGUAAUUCUCUAAGAACAAUAGGUUUUUUUUUUUAAAGACACACACUACAUGUUGCUGAUCUGUGGGUUAGUGGCUCAAUCAUUGUGCACUGAUUCUCCACUGAUGCCUAGAUUGCCAUAAGUUUAUCUAUUGAUCUACAGAUCAAGGGACUAAAUGGUCUAUUAAACAUGAGGUCAAGGAAAAAGGAUGAACAUUUCAAGGCUGCAGGAGGAACAUUAAACAUCUCUCUCACUGUGAAAAGAUUCUACCGAUCUACAAAUGAUCAACAUGUUUUAUCUAAAGUUCAUCUGCCAUUUCUUCAAAUGGAGCCAUAGUCAGAAUAAGAUUCUUUUUGUUCUUCCUUAGGUUCAAAUGUAUCAGUUGUUUUUGUUGACAGAUAUCAAGUCAUUUCAGUUCUCAAUUAUUUUGUGCACUAAGUUACAAGAAAAAAUUCAAGCAAAAGAGGUCACUACACUAAGACUUUGUCUUCUCAUAAGAAUGGAUGGCUGCCUGGUCAUGUGAUAUGUGUGCUGGACUGUGUGUGGUCAUCUUGAUGCUCAUAUCUUGCCUGAUGACAUUUAUUCUGCUGGACAUUUGGUCAAGGAAGUAGAUUCUCUUCAGCUCUCAAGAAACAUUCAAAACAUGUCAAACAUUUGACAAGAAUAUCAAACAAGUGCAGUGUACAUACCAACAUGAUGAAGAUGUAGACCAACAUGAUGAAGAUGUAGACCAACAUGAUGAAGAUGUAGACCAACAUGAUGAAGAUGUAGACCAACAUGAUGAAGAUGUAGGCCAACAUGAUGAAGAUGUAGACCAACAUGAUGAAGAUGUAGACCAACAUGAUGAAGAUAUAGAUUGACAUGAAGAUGAAAUGUAAACCAAAAUAUUGAUCAAGAGAUGUAUGGAAUAAAAAGUGAACAUCUUGAGAGGGAAAACAAUUCCUAGAGGCAAAGACACAGACACAGUAGAUACAUAAGAGAUUGUUUCCUUUUCUACCAUCAUUUAGAGCCUUUUUUGUGAGGGAACCUGCAUCUGAAAGAACUGAACAUUUCCCUAAUGCUACUUCAAAUUCAGAUCUCCUCCCAACCUCAGGCUGAGUACCCGUGGUCACCUACUUUAUGUUACAUUACCAUAGCACUACAGACAGUGGAAAACAAAUUAUAUGAAGGAAUGCAACCACCAUCAGAUAUUGUUGUCUUUACAGACUCCCAAUCUACUCUUCAAGAACUUAACAGCAGCACCUCAAACAGCUCAAGAGAGUUGACAACACUCAUUGUGAUAAUCCAUCAGAUGAUAUCAAAAUUAAAUAUCAAUAUCACACUACAGUGGAUCCCUGGACACAUUUUCAUCAUGGGAAAUGAAAAGGCAGAUAAGCUAUCAAAGGCAGGUUCAUCUAUGGAACAACCAGAUAGACCUGUUAACUACCUCACCCUAAGGUCAGUGUUAGUCAACAAUCAUAAAGAGGAGUGGCUCAACCAAUGGGCAUCAGGAAACACAGGCAGAGCCAUGUACAAAGAAAUGACUACACCUAACAAACUGGACAGUAUUAACUUCCUCCCCUGCAAAGAACAAUCUACAAUUUUCCAACUAAGAACAGGACACACUC